UGAGGAACAUGACUUUCGGCGGGGAUAGCCGGCCCAACGGCCGGGUAAUACCGCGUACGACCCAAUGGAGACACCUCCGCUGGGUGAAAGCAGCAAUGCACCGAAAGAGUGCCUCGCGGCCUAUCAGCUAGUUGGUGGGGUAACGGUUCACCAAGGCGACGACGGGUAGCUGGUCUGAGAGGGAUGGCCAGCCACAUUGGGACUGAGACAUCGGCCCAGACCUCCCGUACGGGGGACGGACGACG
rnacentral:rRNA from 1 species